rnacentral:rRNA from 1 species
GCGUAAUAGCUCACUGGUCGAGUCGGCCUGCGCGGAAGAUGUAACGGGGCUAAACCAUGCACCGAAGCUGCGGCAGCGACACUAUGUGUUGUUGGGUAGGGGAGCGUUCUGUAAGCCUGCGAAGGUGUGCUGUGAGGCAUGCUGGAGGUAUCAGAAGUGCGAAUGCUGACAUAAGUAACGAUAAAGCGGGUGAAAAGCCCGCUCGCCGGAAGACCAAGGGUUCCUGUCCAACGUUAAUCGGGGCAGGGUGAGUCGACCCCUAAGGCGAGGCCGAAAGGCGUAGUCGAUGGGAAACAGGUUAAUAUUCCUGUACUUGGUGUUACUGCGAAGGGGGGACGGAGAAGGCUAUGUUAGCCGGGCGACGGUUGUCCCGGUUUAAGCAUGUAGGCUGAUUAUCCAGGCAAAUCCGGAUAAUCAAGGCUGAGGUGUGAUGACGAGGCACUACGGUGCUGAAGUAACAAAUGCCCUGCUUCCAGGAAAAGCCUCUAAGCAUCAGGUAACAUCAAAUCGUACCCCAAACCGACACAGGUGGUCAGGUAGAGAAUACCAAGGCGCUUGAGAGAACUCGGGUGAAGGAACUAGGCAAAAUGGUGCCGUAACUUCGGGAGAAGGCACGCUGGUGUGUAGGUGAAG